rnacentral:RNase_MRP_RNA from 1 species
UCCUCCGCGCACUUCCCCGCGCGCGCGUCGUGCGGGUGCAUGAACGCCGAAGGGGACGGGCUCGACCCCGACUGCAACUGCAUCUUCAUGCCGUACGGCGACGGGGCGUCCUUCAGCGGCUACAAGAAGGACCCGGUCCUGGUCGAC